rnacentral:rRNA from 1 species
GGAGGGUGCAAGCGUUAAUCGGAAUUACUGGGCGUAAAGCGCACGCAGGCGGUUUGUUAAGUCAGAUGUGAAAUCCCCGAGCUUAACUUGGGAACUGCAUUUGAAACUGGCAAGCUAGAGUCUUGUAGAGGGGGGUAGAAUUCCAGGUGUAGCGGUGAAAUGCGUAGAGAUCUGGAGGAAUACCGGUGGCGAAGGCGGCCCCCUGGACAAAGACUGACGCUCAGGUGCGAAAGCGUGGGGAGCAAACAGGAUUAGAUACCCUGGUAGUCCACGCUGUAAACGAUGUCGAUUUGGAGGUUGUGGGCUUGACCCGUGGCNNNNNNNNNNAACGCGUUAAAUCGACCGCCUGGGGAGUACGGCCGCAA